GUUAUUUUAGCAAGGUUUGCAUUAAACUUAAGAUUUAAAUACAUAGAUUCGUCUAUAAGUAAUA
rnacentral:tRNA from 1 species